rnacentral:rRNA from 1 species
UACGUAGGCAGCGAGCGUUGUUCGGAGUUACUGGGCGUAAAGCGUGCGUAGGCGGUGUCUUAAGUUUGUUGUGAAAUCUCCCGGCUUAACCGGGAGGGUGCGGCGAAUACUGAGAUGCUGGAGUGCCGGAGAGGUAAGCGGAAUUCCUGGUGUAGCGGUGAAAUGCGUAGAUAUCAGGAGGAACACCUGCGGUGUAGACGGCUUACUGGACGGUAACUGACGCUGAGACGCGAAAGCGUGGGGAGCAAACAGG